rnacentral:tRNA from 1 species
GGACGAGUAGCCAAGCGGUCGACGGCGCCUGCCUCUUAAGCAGACGGGCCUUUGCGCCCCGCGUAGGUUCGAAUCCUACCUCGUUCACCA